rnacentral:lncRNA from 1 species
GUACUGCUCGGAGAUAGAUCUGAUAGACCUAAACAACGAGUUUCAGAACCUGAAGAAAGGGAAGAUGAGUGUUGAUGAGUAUGUCACCGCAUUCACCGACAGGAUGAAGCUAUUCCCCUACUUGGUGCCUACUCAACUCUCCAAGAUUGAUAGGUUUGCUAACGGACUACCCACUGACUUUGGCAUAAUGGUCAAAAUGGCAACUACCUUGAAAACAGCUGUUAGGGUAGCUAAGAACGUAGAGGCCCAGAUAAGAGAAAAGGGUCUAGAAAAAGAUAAGGCAGGAGAGAAGCGGAAGUUUGAAGGAUCUUUGAGGUCAAACAAGGAAAGUAAAUUCUCAAAGCUUUGAGGAGGAGAUGGAGGUGAAGCAAGAUGGUGUGAUAAAUGUAAGAAGAAGCAUGGUGGGAAGUGCAACAAAGAAGUGACUUGUUACAAGUGUGGGAGGACUGGUCACUAUUCCAAAGACUGCACACAUGAUGAAAAAGUAUGCUACGGAUGUGGAGGCAAGGGGCACAUGUCCAGAGACUGCCCAAGGAAAAAUAAAGCAGCAAGACCAGAAACGCCACCAAGGCCAAGGGCAUUUCACAUGAUCCUCGACGAAGCAGAAAACCAUGCGAGGAAUCAAGGAUGAGGACUUUAUACCCGAAGAUCAAGUUAUGCAGUAGCCAUAGUAUCNNNNNNNNNNNNNUAAAUUCUCCUUAUUCGGUGUAUAGAUCAAGAUGGUAAGGACCCGUAGCGGAAACGUGAACGCAAAUGAAAAUAGGAACCAACCCCCAGUGGUUCAGCAAAUACCUGUUGUAGAAGAAGUUGCACCUGAGCCAGUCACCAUGGCUGGAGUUCAAGCCAUGAUUCGGGCUAUGCUAGCUGAACAAAGGGAAGAAAUGAGGAGGAUGUCAAAUAGGGACGAACCUACUAUGCCCACUGAGCAACCCGAGCUGAUUCCCGAGCAAUCGGAGGAAGGGAACUACAGCCACCAAGUGAGUCAAGUGGGGACUCAAGGUGAUCAAAGGGAUGGCCCGGAGAGGAGAAAUGACAAGGAUGGGCGAAUGUACAAGAAUUUCUUGGGUGCGAAACCACCAAGCCUCUCAGGAAGCCCAAAGCCAGUUGAGAUUAUGGAUUGGAUCUCCGAGAUGGAAAUGGUGUUUGAAAGCUGCGACUGCAGCGAGAAACAGAAGACCGUCUUCGCCGUAAGACAACUUAAAACUGGAGUCUUGAGCUGGUGGAAGCUAUUGGCAGAUACGAUGCCACGAGGAGAAGCCUUAAGGAUUUCAUGGGAAGAGUUCUUGGAACAGUUGAAAAUGCAGUACUGCUCGGAGAUAGAUCUGAUAGACCUAAACAACGAGUUUCAGAACCUGAAGAAAGGGAAGAUGAGUGUUGAUGAGUAUGCCACCACAUUCACUGAGAGGAUGAAGCUAUUCCCCUACUUGGUGCCUACUGAACUCUCCAAGAUUGAUAGGUUUGCUAACGGACUACCCACUGACUUUGGCCUAAUGGUCAAAAUGGCAACUACCUUGAAAACAGCUGUUAGGGUAGCUAAGAACGUAGAGGCCCAGAUAAGAGAAAAGGGUCUAGAAAAAGAUAA